rnacentral:rRNA from 1 species
AGACGGAGGAUGCAAGUGUUAUCCGGAUUUAUUGGGUUUAAAGGGUACGUAGGCGGCAUGGUCAGUCAGUGGUGAAAUCUUACAGCUCAACUGUGAAAUUGCCAUUGAUACUGCCAAGCUAGCGUAAAGUUGAGGUGGGUGGAAUUCUACAUGUAGCGGUGAAAUGCAUAGAUAUGUAGAGGAAUGCCGAUAGCGAAAGCAACUCACUAAGCUUUUACGGACGCUGAGGUACGAAAGCGUGGGGAGCGAACAGGAUUAGAUACCCCGGUAGCCC